rnacentral:rRNA from 1 species
UGGGGAAUCUUGGACAAUGGGCGCAAGCCUGAUCCAGCCAUGCCGCGUGAAUGAUGAAGGCCUUAGGGUUGUAAAAUUCUUUCGUCGGGGACGAUAAUGACGGUACCCGAAGAAGAAGCUCCGGCUAACUUCGUGCCAGCAGCCGCGGUAAUACGAAGGGGGCUAGCGUUGUUCGGAAUUACUGGGCGUAAAGCGCGUGUAGGCGGGCCGUUAAGUCGGGGGUGAAAGCCCAGAGCUCAACUCUGGAAUUGCCUUCGAUACUGGCGGCCUGGAGCAUGAUAGAGGCAAGUGGAAUUGCGAGUGUAGAGGUGAAAUUCGCAGAUAUUCGCAGGAACACCGGUGGCGAAGGCGACUUGCUGGAUCAUUGCUGACGCUGAGACGCGAAAGCGUGGGGAGCAAACA